GAUGAAGAACGCAGCGAAAUGCGAUAAGUAAUGUGAAUUGCAGAAUUCAGUGAAUCAUCGAAUCUUUGAACGCACAUUGCGCCCCUUGGUAUUCCGAGGGGCAUGCCUGUUCGAGCGUCAUUAUAACCCCUCAAGCUCAGCUUGGUGUUGGGGCCUGCUGCACUGGCAGCCCUUAAAAUCAGUGGCGGCGCCAUCUGGCUCUAAGCGUAGUAAUUCUUCUCGCUAUGGAGUCCUGGUGGAUGCUUGCCAUCAACCCCCAAUUUUUCUAUGGUUGCCCUCGGAUCAGGUAGGGAUACCCGCUGAACUUAAGCAUAUCAAUAAGCGGAGGA
rnacentral:misc_RNA from 1 species